rnacentral:rRNA from 1 species
CUCCCACCCGUGUUGCCCGAACCUAUGUUGCCUCGGCGGGCCCCGCGCCCGCCGACGGCCCCCCUGAACGCUGUCUGAAGUUGCAGUCUGAGACCUAUAACGAAAUUAGUUAAAACUUUCAACAACGGAUCUCUUGGUUCCGGCAUCGAUGAAGAACGCAGCGAAAUGCGAUAACUAAUGUGAAUUGCAGAAUUCAGUGAAUCAUCGAGUCUUUGAACGCACAUUGCGCCCUCUGGUAUUCCGGAGGGCAUGCCUGUCCGAGCGUCAUUGCUGCCCUCAAGCCCGGCUUGUGUGUUGGGCCCCGUCCCCCCCGCCGGGGGGACGGGCCCGAAAGGCAGCGGCGGCACCGCGUCCGGUCCUCGAGCGUAUGGGGCUUCGUCACCCGCUCUAGUAGGCCCGGCCGGCGCCAGCCGACCCCCAACCUUUAAUUAUCUCAGGUUGACCUCGGAUCAGGUAGGGAUACCCGCUGAACUUAAGCAUAUCA